AACAGGAAGAGGAGUUUAACAAUGUAUCAGCGACAUAAUGCAAAGAGCUGAAUACAUUAUUAGGUAGUUCACAUGUAUCAACUUACCUCAAGAAUCAGUGGAUUUGUUUGGGAGAAUUGUGGUCCAAUUUUGGUCGGACAUUCUAUCAUCAUAACAGUGAAACCAACAAUAAGGCAGAGAGGUUUUUCCUUACAGUGAAGUACCAAUUUUUGAAGGGGAAGAUGAAUAGCAGUAUUGAUCGGCUUCUUUGCUUGCUUUGUGGUGAUGUUCAGAAAUAUUACAGUUACCUGGAUGAUCUGACAGACACUGGACGAAUCAACAGAUCUAACAGCGAAGACACCAUUAUUGCUGCUCAGUCUAUGGUUGCAAAAGGCCUGGAUACAAAAAUAGAUAUGUCUAAAGAUGGAGUAUGUUUGGUACCACCAGAUACAAGCACAGUUUCACACUGUUGAUUUGGUGAUGCACACGUGCAACUGCAAAAGAUUCCAACGAGGAUCUAUGUGCAAACACUUAAUUUUUUCAAAGACAAUUGCAGAGAAACAAGGACUUGUGAUUCAAGACCUUAGGACUGAUGCAGCAAGAAAGAUUGUUGACAGUCAAUCCUACUUCACAGACAGUGAAAACCUUACUGUCUGUCACUUUGAUGGGAGUGUAGGAGUAGUAAGUCAUAAAGUGACAAGAUUUUGCACAUGCAUUGCAAAUAGUCAUGGGGAGCUGUGUGUAUGUACAUUAGUUCACAGCAUUCUUUACAAAUCUUGUCAGAGCGAUUCUUUUGAUUUACAAUGCUUACAGUCCUGUGAAAGAAAAAAGGCUACACUGCAGGACAUGCUCACAGAUCUUCACGAGUGGAGCCAGUCAGAACAAUUUCAAGAGACUCAGGAAGUGUACAAUUUAGUACAGAGGGCACACAAAUUGAUUUUUUCCUAGUUUAGCAAAGUUUCAAGGAAAAGAAAAAUUGCUGCUCUCCAUGGUUAUAGAAAAAUGGUCAAAAAAGCAAAAGAUAGAGUCAGUGUUAAUUACAUAGUCAAAAAGAAAAAAACAAGGUUCACUCUGUAAGUAGGGAAUGUCUUAUUAAAAUAAUCACAUUUCUCUAAAGUUAUAUUUUUGCUCUUCAAAUAGUGGCAAAUCACAAAAUGGCACUGUAGUGAUGCAGAAAUCGAACAAAUUACAAUGCUUUAACAUGUUUUUAAUGUGUGUCUAUGUAUAUCUUGUCAUUUUUGUUAUAUGGGUGAGCUGGCGCAUCAAUGAGCUAAUAAUCAAAUCGAUAAAUAUGAUAAAGGGGCUGUAUUCAAAAUGUACAAUUUACAAAAUGGAAACAUGUAAUUUUCUACCAGAU